rnacentral:rRNA from 1 species
UACGGGGGGAGCAAGCGUUGUUCGGAUUUACUGGGCGUAAAGGGCGCGUAGGCGGCCACUGCAAGUCAGUUGUGAAAUCUCCGGGCUUAACCCGGAAAGGUCAACUGAUACUGCAGGGCUAGAGUGCAGAAGGGGCAACUGGAAUUCUCGGUGUAGCGGUGAAAUGCGUAGAUAUCGAGAGGAACACCUGCGGCGAAGGCGGGUUGCUGGGCUGACACUGACGCUGAGGCGCGAAAGCCAGGGGGAGCGAACGGG